rnacentral:antisense_RNA from 1 species
CUUCACCGACCCGAGCCACAACGGACGACCUUCGGGGCGCGCCUUUCCAUAGGUGGAGAGCAGGGCGUCGGCCUC